UAUACUUCACAGGUCGAAGCAGUUCAAAACAAAGUAUUUUGGUACCUCUUACAUCUUGAAUCAUUAAGGCCAAAUUUUUUUUUUUUUUAUUUUUUCGUUUUGUUGAUCAAAAUAUAAUCGGUUACAAUUUCAACACUUUUUCUACAGCAAAACAGCAUCAUGUCGGCUCCAGUUCGUGGUAAUAAGGCCUCAAAGCUGAGGUCCGAGGGAAAAGUUGAAAAGCCUGCAUCCAUUGGACCUUCUUGGGCUCUUACUUCCUCCCGAGGCAGAGCCUUUAAUCGUGGCUCCGAACCCACCAGUCGCGAUACCAGUCCCAGUCGCAUCCCGACCAUCCUUAGACCCUGUUCAAUCCCGACCAGUCGCAUACCUAUCCGCAGGCUUGCGGGUGACCCGAAGAGAAGCACUUCCCCAAUUCGGGCCACUCCCUUGGAGGCAGUAACCAGUGCCAGUGCGUGUUCCUUGCCUUUGCUUCUAGCUUUCGAGAAUACAGUGGGCGAUCAUGAACGUAAGCCUGAAGUGGACAAGGACUCUGUCAAGCGGACUAAAUGUUUGCCGCGCGCAAGGGCUAAGUCAACGACGUAAGCUGUAUUCCAGCCGUUUUCGAGAAAGGAAAAAUCGCAUCACCGGGUAAUCGAGUUGAACAAGGUGCGAGGCUUGGAGAUGCAGCACAAGAAGCUGGAGAACUUGCAGUCGGAGUUCAUGCACAAAAUCCGCACCUUGGCACCCAAAAGCUUCAAGGAGUCUACAAGUUUGUGGCCGUGGUGGUGAACGAGAAGUGCAAAGUCGUGGUUCACGCUGACGAUCUGCACCGAUUGCCCAAGAAUCUGCGCAUUGCUUAUGGCCAGGUAUAUUCCACCGCGAUGGCUACCACCUACUGUGCCUGUAUUAUGGCAUUGACCAUCCGGUAUUUGGUGGCCAGUUUUAGUGAGGUCCUGUCCUGGACUUAUUGCCUGGUGGAAUGGGGCAGCAGCUGUGUGGCCACAGGAGAUUCCAAUGAUACGUCUAUUGGCAGGCUGUGUUCUUCGCGGAGCUGCUCUUAACUAACCUCCCAUCCUAUACAGAGAAACUGUACUCAGGGAACCCUAAACUUUGGAGGACAAUGGUCUAGGAACUUCCAGCUGGGAUCUGGUAUUGUUUCUCUUAGCCACUUGGGUUAUCAUCGGAACAAUUUUGUCUAAAGGCUCAAGGAGCUCAGGCAAAGCUUCUUAUAUUCUGGCCCUGUUUCCCUAGGUGUUGUAAGUCAUUUUGAUCCGCGCUGUUACCUUGCCAGGUGCCUGGCAUAGAUCUGUGUAUUUCCUAAAGCCACAUGCUGAAUUUAUAUGUUUGGUAAGCGGCCAUCACCCAAAUGUUCUUCUCGUUGGCCGCUUGCUUUGACACCCAAUUUAUGUACGACUCCUUCAAUGAAUUCAACAAGAAUGUGCACAAAGACGUGAUUAUAAUCACCACCAUAGAUUCGAUAACUUCCAUCUUGGCUGGCUGUAUAUUCUUUGGAAUUUUGGCAACCUGGCUCAUGAGACCAAUACCUCGGACAUUUCGCGGGUGGUCAAGGGUAGAGCUGGUCUGGCAUUCAUUUCCUACCCGAAGCGAUUGCCAAGUUCAAGUAUCUGCCCCAACUAAUCGCUGUGCUGCUCUUCUUCAUGGGCGGCUUGGUUACUCAG